ACCUUGUAUAGCAGCAAUUUCCUAAAUAAAUAUAUAGGAGAAAAAUAUCUAGGACGAAUAUCUACUAGACUGGAUGGAUGGACACAACAAAAACAGUAAAUAAGGAAGAAAACAACUAUUUAAAAAGGAAAGGCGCGUCACUGUUUUUAAAUAUUUCAAUCCAAAAAAACUGGUCUUAAUUUUAGAAGAAAUUAUUGGCUUGUUACCCCAGUAAAUUGGGGAAUUGUUUCAUAUAUCUGCCGACCGAGAAACAUUUCAUCAGCUUGUUGAAAACAAGCAUGGCACACAAAGAAGAAUACCCCACUAAAGUCUUUAACCCAAAUUAAAUUGGGUAAUUUAACCGGUGACGGAGGCGGUGACACUAAUGUUGCAACUUCUUCCAAAGCGAGUGGAAACGGAUAUUUACAACACAAUUUCUAACAGAAAAUGAAUAGAAUAGCAAGAGUAGACCUACUUAGAGAAAAAUAUCCAAAUAACAAAAUGCCGUUGACUUGUUGUGUGGUUUAACAUAGAUCCCAUCUAACGGGACAAUCUCUAGACAUUUCUUCUUGGGGGAUUAUCUUCUAUAUUAGCAAACAAAGGAACUACCGACAACGCGCGUUUAGGUAAACUACACAAGGGAAAAAUCAGGUUCAAACAGCGGUAACUUUUAAAAAGGUUUAUUGGAGGUUUAUUAAGGUUUUUUAUUAGAAAGUAUUUUUUUAAGUUUUUUAUUAGAAAAGAAGUUAAAAUUAUAUACGAGGUAUCUUAAAAUUAAUUAAAAUAAUGAAAUUUCGACAAGAUGUAAUCUAAUGGACUUUAUUUACAACAAAUUUUUUAUCGACUCAUUUUUACUUCAAAUAAAUCAGUAAUCAUAAAAAA
rnacentral:lncRNA from 1 species